rnacentral:rRNA from 1 species
GACGCACGCUGGUGGCGUGCUUAACACAUGCAAGCUGACCGAAGUGGCGAACGGGUGAGUAAUACGUGAGUAACCUGCCCUCCUUGUUGGGAUCAGCCUUGGAAACGGGGUCUAAUACCGUAUAAAGGGGGAUGGGCUCGAGGCCUAUCAGCUUGUUGGUGGGGUGAUGGCAUAACAAGGAGGUGACGGGUAGCCGGCCUGAGAGGGGGAGGGGUCAGAUGUGUAUAAGAAUACGGCCGAUGCGCCUACGGGCGGCAGGAGGGGGGGUGAGUGGACAAUGGGCGGAAGCCUGACGCAGCGACGCCGUGUGGGGUAUGAAGGCUUUCGUGUUGUAAACCUCUUUCGCUAUCGAACGGGUAGGUUGUUAAGAAGCGCCGGCUGACUACGUUCCAGCAGCCGCGGUAAUUC